rnacentral:rRNA from 1 species
CCUACGGGUGGCAGCAGUGAGGAAUAUUGGUCAAUGGGCGUAAGCCUGAACCAGCCAAGUCGCGUGAGGGAUGAAGGUUCUAUGGAUCGUAAACCUCUUUUAUAAGGGAAUAAAGUGCGGGACGUGUCCCGUUUUGUAUGUACCUUAUGAAUAAGGAUCGGCUAACUCCGUGCCAGCAGCCGCGGUAAUACGGAGGAUCCGAGCGUUAUCCGGAUUUAUUGGGUUUAAAGGGUGCGUCGGCGGCCUUUUAAGUCAGCGGUGAAAGUCUGUGGCUCAACCAGAGAAUUGCCGUUGAAACUGGGAAGCUGGAGUAUGUGGGAGGCAGGCGGAAUGCGAGGUGUAGCGGGGAAAUGCGUAGAUAUCACGCGGAACCCCGGUUGCGAAGGCGGCCUGCCAGGCCAUGACUGACGCUGAUGCGCGAAAGCGUGGGGAUCAAACAGGAUUAGAUACCCUAGUAGUC